AUUGAACGCUGGCGUCAGGCCUAACACCUGCAAGUCGAACGAGUGCCGGACGGGUGAGUAAUGUCUUGGAAACUUCCCGAUGGAGGGGGAUAACUACUGGAAACGGUAGCUAAUACCGCAUACCAUCGGAUGUGCCCAGAUGGUAUUAGCUAGUAGGUGGGGUAACGGCUCACCUAGGCGACGAUCCCUAGCUGGUCUGAGAGGAUGACAAGUCACACGGGAACUGAGAAACGGUCCAGACGCCGACGGGAGGCAGCAGUGGGGAAGAUUGCACAAUGGGCGCAAGCCUGAUGCAGCCAUGCAGCGUGUAUGAAGAAGGCCUUCGGGUUGUAAAGUAAUUUAAGCGAGGAGGCGUUACUCGCAGAAGAAGCACAGGCUAACUCCGGGCCAGCAGCCGCGGUAAUAC
rnacentral:rRNA from 1 species